AUUGAACGCUGGCGGCAGGCCUAACACAUGCAAGUCGAACGAGUGGCGGAAGGGUGAGUCAUGUCUGGGACACUGCCUGAUGGAGGGGGAUAACUAAUGGAAACGGUAGCUAAUACCGCAUACCAUCGGAUGUGCCCAGAUGGGAAUAGCUAGUAGGGGGGGUAAAGGCUCACCUAGGCGACGAUCACUAGCUGGUCUGAGAGGAUGACCAGCCAACCUGGAACUUAGACACGGUCCAGACUCCUACGGGAGGCAGCAGUGGGGAAGAUUGCACAAUGGGCGCAAGCCUGAUGCAGCCAUGCCGCGUGUAUGAAGAAGGCCUGCGGGUUGUAAAGUACUUUCAGCGGGGAGGCGUUACCCGCAGAAGAAGCACCGGCUAACUCCGUGCCAGCAGCCGCGGUAAUUC
rnacentral:rRNA from 1 species